UAUUUUUCACUUAAAAGGCCAAUUUUGUAAGGACAAUUGCAACAUUUCCAUAUUGUAAGGCAAUGCCUAACAAAAAGGCUGUAUGAGGUUGAAAUGUGUGAUAUCUUAUACCUAACCAGAAAGUAACAGGUUGUUGGGGAUGGAAGGUGGAGUGAGGAAGAUGCUGCUCUUUUAGUGCCUGAGAACUUAACUGGUAUUGAACAGGGAGAUGGCAAGUAGAAGAUGGUGUUUGACUGAGUCAGCAUUUUACCAGAGAUGGUGUUUACUGUGCUUCUGCUUGCAUAAAGGGAGAGAUCACCAAUUAGCCACAUUUGAAAGGGAAGGAUACAGGAAU